AGGAUGCUGAAACAAGCAUCUUAAGGCUUUUCAAUUCUAAAAUGUAAGAUAAACCUUCUGCUGUCACAAUUGUUUAAGUGUCAUUAGUUAAUAUUGUAUUUCUUUACUUCUGUGCAAUGCAGGUUGUGCAUGGACACGGGUAAAGCAAAUUACACUGCUAAUAUAAGGCUAUACAAAAGUCAAUAAAAGAUUAAUGUAUUACGUUACAUGUAUGACAGAGCAUGAUGGGAGUAAACUGAGGACUGCCUUGUCUAAAAGACCGUCAAUACAAUUAGCUGUGAUUUGGCACAAUAACAGGAAGAGGAUGAAGCCUGAACUUCUCUAAACAAAACAAUGUCUGGAUGAAGCAGCAACUUACCUGACUAUAAAUGUCACCAAAUACCCUCCUUGUUUAAUGAACUCAAUAAAAUAAUCAAGCAACUUGAAUAUGCCACAGGGAUAGAUACUGAUCCCAACUUCCUCUCCCCCUUUGUGUAGGCUUCAAGUCUCUGCCCUGCCAUCUAUGGGUAAACCCCAGGCUUCCCACCUUCCUUGUUACCUCCCGAAUACCUCUCUGCCCUGUCAGAGCUUUACAAGAACGAGAUGGGUGAAGAGUUUAAGCAGAAGGCAAAAGUUUAACAGGUACAACAAGAGUUCAGAGCAUAACAACAGGAACUCCAGUGGAACAACAGUUGGUGGGCUAAGUCAGCUUACAAAGAUCGCGGAAGAUGGAUGCGUGCUACUCAGCUGGAAGAAUCUGCGCCGAGGGCUUAUUAGGUGUCAAAGUGAUGCCAAGAUUGGAAAAAAACCCUUUGGAGGGCCAUAUGCGGCUAUGAGACACUAUCUAGGCAUUCUGCCCUACAGACGUUGAAAAAACCUGUUCUACAGAAUGAAAGAAAACUGGAUGCUAUUUUGAAGACUAACAGUACCCAGCUCCUUUUCCUCCUUUUCCUCAUCCAGUGAAAUCAAGCUAUAGUAAAAUAGCAGUAUAUAAGAACAGAUGAUCUAUUUACAAAACUCCACGCCUUUUGCAUAAUAAUGAGACCCCCUGUAUUUGAUGUUCUUAAAUAUUGUUUUAUUUAAUCUUCAAACCAAAUACAAAUCUAAGCAUAUACAGUAGCUUAGGCUUCCGGGAGGAGUCCACUGAGGGCAGGAUAGAUAUGUACAGAACAUAUGAUUAAUUAUUGGCAGCACUGUGAAACUAGUCUUUAGCCUGGUCCAUUCGUUCUAUUCAUUCCUAUGGGAUUUUUAGAAUUGCAUUUAUCAAAGGGUGAAAGUUAGAACUAACCAUUUGAUAAAUACAGUUCUAA